rnacentral:rRNA from 1 species
AUUGAACGCUGGCGGCAUGCUUUACACAUGCAAGUCGAACGGUAACAGGCCUUCGGGUGCUGACGAGUGGCGAACGGGUGGGUAAUGCAUCGGAACGUGCCCAAUCGUGGGGGAUAACGUAGCGAAAGUUACGCUAAUACCGCAUAAGCCCUGAGGGGGAAAGCAGGGGAUCGCAAGACCUUGCGCGAAUGGAGCGGCCGAUGUCAGAUUAGCUAGUUGGUGGGGUAAAGGCCUACCAAGGCGACGAUCUGUAGCGGGUCUGAGAGGAUGGCCAGCCACACUGGAACUGAGACACGGUCCAGACUCCUACGGGAGGCAGCAGUGGGGAAUAUUGGACAAUGGGGCGAACCCUGAUCCACGCAAUGCGCGUGUGUGACGAAGG